GACGAACGCUGGCGGCGUGCCUAAUACAUGCAAGUCGAGCGGACGGAAGGAAGCUUGCUUCCUAAAGUCAGCGGCGGACGGGUGAGUAACACGUGGGCAACCUGCCCCUAAGAUCGGGAUAACUUCGGGAAACCGGAGCUAAUACCGGAUAUGAUUAUGUCUCACAUGAGACAUAAUGGAAAGACGGUUUCGGCUGUCACUUAGGGAUGGGCCUGCGGCGCAUUAGCUAGUUGGUGAGGUAACGGCUCACCAAUGCGACGAUGCGUAGCCGACCUGAGAGGGUGAUCGGCCACACUGGGACUGAGACACGGCCCAGACUCCUACGGGAGGCAGCAGUAGGGAAUCUUCCGCAAUGGACGAAAGUCUGACGGAGCAACGCCGCGUGAGUGAAGAAGGUUUUCGGAUCGUAAAACUCUGUUGUUAGGGAAGAACAAGUACCAUAGUAACUGAUGGUACCUUGACGGUACCUAACCAGAAAGCCACGGCUAACUACGUGCCAGCAGCCGCAGUAAUAC
rnacentral:rRNA from 1 species